GACGAACGCUGGCGGCGCGCCUAACACAUGCAAGUCGAACGGAGUCACGAGGAGCUUGCUUUUCUUGACUUAGUGGCGAACGGGUGAGUAACGCGUGAGUAACCUGCCCUGGAGUGGGGGACAACAGUUGGAAACGACUGCUAAUACCGCAUAAGCCCACGGAUCCGCAUGGAUCUGCGGGAAAAGGAUUUAUUCGCUUCAGGAUGGACUCGCGUCCAAUUAUCUAGUUGGUGAGGUAACGGCCCACCAAGGCGACGAUUGGUAGCCGGACGGAGAGGUUGAACGGCCACAUCGGGAAUGAGACACGGCCCAGACUCCUACGGGAGGCAGGAGUGGGGGAUAUUGCACAAUGGGGGAAACCCUGAUGACGCGACGCCGCGUGGAGGAAGAAGGUUUUCGGAUUGUAAACUCCUGUCGUUAGGGACGAUAAUGACGGUACCUAACAAGAAAGCACCGGCUAACUACGUG
rnacentral:rRNA from 1 species